UGGGAAGGAGGAAGGGGACAACUCGGCCAGCAGGGACCUGGGGGCCUGGUGGGGUGUGCCCCGUUUGUGAUGCUGCCCUGGAACCCCAUCACCAGGGCAGCCAGGUAGACAUGUGCUGCCCUGGUUCUCCUGGUUCCGGGCUCACCACUGGCUUUCUCUUCUUGGAUACAUCUUGAGUACCUGGCAACUAUGAAAAUAUCCUUUCUCUCACCCCAGUGAACAGAUGGGUUGCAGUUCUGUUACCCAAAUGUGUAGAUUCGGGCCCAUUUAAAUGAGAUAAUUGUAAGCGGCUGAUGUGCCAUGCCCUGUGUGGACAGGAGAACUGAUUAACAUUGCUGAUUGGUUUUGCUAAUGCCUCUGGAGACAAGUGAUGAAACCACCCCCCCACUAUCCAGCCCAGGAGUCUUGGAGCAGUUUCUGCUGACCAGGGACAGUCCUGAAGACUUGAAUUCGCAACUCUCACUUUGCAAUGACCAGUCAGUUCCAGAUUACCUGGUGUCUGCAUUUGUGUACCUGCCUUACUACAGAACGUCUUACGUCUUUAUCAGCCCAUCUUCCCAUGCUGCAUCACACAUCAGCACAGAAACAGAAGAAAGCUUCAAUGAAGGCAAGGUUAACACUAAGCAGGAUGAGACAGUGAGUUAUUCAGCCACCUCCACAGGAUAUUUUCCAUAUUUCAGAACAUAUGGAGAGUUUCUUUGCGAGCCGCUCACAUUUGGAUUAAAUGCAGAGGGAAAAAAACCUGAUAAUGAUGGGAAAGGUGAAUGUGAAGGAGAUAUUGAGACAACCAUCCCACCAAGUUUGGAUUUGGAAAAGAGGGCAUUUUCUUCUAUGACCGAUAAACAGCCAAGAGUUCACCAUCUCUUAAGAGACAGAACCUUUGGACACUGCUCAUCAACAAUCUCCUUCUCCAGUGGGCUGCCAGGUCUGAAUCAGCCCUUUCCCUCCACUGGGUACUUUCCUUACUACAGGACAGAGGAAGAGCUCUGUCCCAGUCCAGUUCUAGGUGACAGGUUCUUCCAUGGGAUAGGUGGUUUGGUGAACAAAGACGGAGAAGAAAGGGGAGAAACAGAUAUUUGGAGUCUCAGCAGCAACUGCUUGUUGUGCUGAGAACAAAGCAGGGGGUUGUCUUUGUCAGCAAAAGAUUGAGUCAACACAAGCGUGAAUGAGAAGCUCUUGAAAACUACAACAUGAAAAUCUGCAUAAAUAUGGAAUUAAAAUACUCCUCCCCUCAAACAAAACAAGUGAUAACCCAGACUGUGUAAUGACAGCAGAAAGGAAAAGAGAGGAAAAUGUCUGCAUUUGAGGAAUCCAGAUAAACUCAUUCUAGAAAACAUCCCGAAGAAAGAGAAUGCCGCUCAGAAUGUGUUUUUCUGUGGUGAAUCCCAAAAGCUAGAUGCUCACUUGAAGGAUGUGCAGGUAUGGGAAAUAGUCAAUGGGAAAAAAACAAACCAAGACAAAAACCGAACAAUUAUUUAAAUCUAAGCUGCUUGGAGGAAUUAAGCAGAGACAUAAUUUCCAGUAGGGAUUGGGAAAUACAUUUCCUCUUCCCUCCACUACAAUCCUUCUAUUGUAUUAAUGGCAUCUGUUAGACCUGGUUACUGUGCACAACAGUUAUACACGGGAGAAAAAAAAAAACAUGUUUAUUUAAAUUCUUUGUCAAUAAAAUAUUUGAACACAUUUCCAUUAUGUCUGUCUUCAUUUCACUUGCACAGUCAGUAAUGAAAAUAUUCCUGAUUACUUUAAUAUGUGCAAACAUGAGCUUCUAUAAAACAUCCGUUUUGACUCUGGAAAACUGGGAGACAGCAUCCGGGAAAAACUUGGCUUUGGUAAAGCUUCACCAAUUUACACCAGAUGAGGAUCUGACCAAAAAAACGUCAGCUCAGUGUUUCCUUUGCAAUUGUGAAAUCUGCAACACUCUCCUUACUGCCAACUCUGUCACCUC